rnacentral:rRNA from 1 species
UACGAAGGGGGCGAGCGUUGUUCGGAAUUACUGGGCGUAAAGGGCGCGCAGGCGGCUCUGAAAGUCAGAUGUGAAAGCCCCGGGCUUAACCUGGGAAUUGCAUUUGAUACUCUGGAGCUUGAGUGUGGGAGAGGAGAGUGGAAUUCCCAGUGUAGAGGUGAAAUUCGUAGAUAUCGGGAAGAACACCUGAGGCGAAGGCGGCUAUCUGGCGGAACAUUGACGCUAAGGCGCGAAAGCGUGGGGAGCAAACAGG